rnacentral:tRNA from 2 species
GGCACCUUAGCUCAGUUGGUAGAGCGCUAGAGUGAAGUUCUAGGUCGUCGGUGGUUCAAUUCCAUCAGGUGCCA